GAGUGAAGAGGGAAAAGCCCAAAUUUGUAAUCUGGCUCUUUUUCAAGGGUCUGAGUUGUAAUUUUAAGACCUGUUUUCAGUGCUGGACCACACACAAGUUUGUUGGAAAACAACAUCAGUGAGGGUGAUAAUCCCGUACAUGGUGUGGACUACCAGUGCAAUAUGAUACAGAGUCUAAGAGUCGAGUUGUUUGGGAAUGCAGCUCAAAAUGGGUGGUAAAUUCCAUCUAAGGCUAAAUAUAGGUGAGAGACCGAUAGCAAACAAGUACCGUGAGGGAAAGAUGAAAAGAACUUUGGAAAGAGAGUUAACAGUAUGUGAAAUUGUUAAAAGGGAAACACUUAAAGUUAGACUUGUUAUUGCCAGUUCAUCCCCUAGGGGAGUAUUCUGGUGGUUAACAGAUCAACAUCAAUUCUAUGAGGGUGCUGGAUAAGGGUCUUUGAAAUGUGGCAGUUUUUAUAGCUGUGUUAUAGUCUUAGACUUUGAUAUGGUGCCUAGGAUUGAGGAAUGCAGCAAGCCCUGUGAUGGGGUGGAUUCAAUUAUGAAUCUUCUUGCUGAGGAUGUUGAUGAAAUAGCUUUAAAUGACCCGUCUUGAAACACGGACCAAGGAGUCUAACAUGCUUGCGAGUAUUUGGGUGAUAGAAACCCUUGUGCGAAAUGAAAGUAAAUGUAAAUGAGAUCCCUGAUCAAAAGGGGAGCAUCAUUGACCAGUCCAGAUUAUUUAUAUGACGGUACUGAGUAAGAGCAAGUAUGUUGGGACCCGAAAGAUGGUGAACUAUGCCUGAAUAGGGUGAAGCCAGAGGAAACUCUGGUGGAAGCUCGUAGCGGUUCUGACGUGCAAAUCGAUCGUCAAAUUUGGGUAUAGGGGCGAAAGACUAAUCGAACCAUCUAGUAG
rnacentral:rRNA from 1 species